GCUAUUUCCGGUGCAGCGGCACACAAGUCUUUCCUUCAGUGUUCUCCAUCUUCAAACUUCGAUUGCUUUAAUUUGUCUUUGCCACCCGAUUUAGCUAUUUCCGGUGAGAAGAAAGUUUUUUCAAUAAGGGCUUUGCUUGCUUUGGAUUGCUUCAGAUUUUAAAGUUUAUCUGAUGUAAUACUCGGGAAUUCCACUAAACUUGAUGUAGAAGAAAGUGAUCCUCUCUAACAUUAGUUUCUUUUCUCUAUUCUCUGUCUCUCUCUCUUGCUAUUUCUCACUUUUAUGUGGUUUCAUCAUCAUCUGCAAUAGAGCACGACGUCUUCUCCUGCGCACAUUGUCAACGAUAAGCCCCAUGUUCAGCACAAUCUAGAGAUCUUCUCAGCUAUUGGAAUAGCAGAUCCAUCAAUGUCUCCCUACCAUUGGGUUCUCCCAGAUGCGGCUACUCUUACCUGGUUGGACCAGCAUGACCAGCUUUGGAAACCAAGAGCUAAGAAGAACCGAUCCAACCCAGGAUUUUGGUCCAACAAGGGUUGAAAAUAAAAUUAGUAGUUAUUUAGUAUUUUAUUUCAUGCAUUUUAUUUUUCAAAUUUAAAUGCAGGACUUAGGAUCUAUUUCCUUCCAUUGGUUUCCUUUUUUAUAGUUGUGUCUUAGUUUGGGCUAAUUUCUAUUUCAAGCUUCUAAUUCUAUGUCUUUACUUUCCUAUAUAUUGACUGUAAUCGAUGGAUAAACCAGAGUGAUUUGAUUAUUGAAUAAAGAUGUUGAGUUUGUGCACUA